UAAUACGUAGGUGGCAAGCGUUGUCCGGAUUUAUUGGGUUUAAAGGGUGCGUAGGCGGUCCUAUAAGUCAGUGCUGAAAUAUCCCGGCUUAACCGGGAGGGUGGCAUUGAUACUGCAGGACUUGAGUAGAGUUGAGGUUGGCGGAAUUGACGGUGUAGCGGUGAAAUGCUUAGAUAUCGUCAAGAACACCGAUAGUGAAGACAGCUAACUAAGCUCUAACUGACGCUGAGGCACGAAAGUGUGGGGAUCAAACAGGAUUAGAUACCCUGGUAGUCCACACUGUAAACGUUGAUUACUCGAUGUUGGCGAUAUACAGUCAGCGUCUUAGCGCAAGCGAUAAGUAAUCCACCUGGGGAGUACGCCGGCAACGGUG
rnacentral:rRNA from 1 species